AUACGUAGGGUGCAAGCGUUGUCCGGAAUUACUGGGUGUAAAGGGAGCGUAGGCGGGACUGCAAGUUGAAUGUGAAAUGUAUGGGCUUAACCCAUAAGCUGCGUUCAAAACUGUAGUUCUUGAGUGAAGUAGAGGCAGGCGGAAUUCCUAGUGUAGCGGUGAAAUGCGUAGAUAUUAGGAGGAACACCAGUGGCGAAGGCGGCCUGCUGGGCUUUUACUGACGCUGAGGCUCGAAAGCAUGGGGAGCAAACAGGAUUAGAUACCCUGGUAGUCCAUGCCGUAAACGAUGAUUACUAGGUGUGGGGGGACUGACCCCUUCCGUGCCGCAGUUAACACAAUAAGUAAUCCACCUGGGGAGUACGACCGCAAGGUUGAA
rnacentral:rRNA from 1 species